UGGGGAAUUUUGGGCAAUGGGCGAAAGCCUGAUCCAGCCAUGCCGCGUGGAUGAAGAAGGCCCUAGGGUUGUAAAGUCCUUUCGGUGGUGAAGAUAAUGACGGUAACCACAGAAGAAGCCCCGGCUAAUUUCGUGCCAGCAGCCGCGGUAAUACGAAAGGGGCUAGCGUUGUUCGGAAUUACUGGGCGUAAAGCGCACGUAGGCGGCCUUGUAAGUUGGGGGUGAAAUCCCCGGGCUCAACCCGGGAACUGCCUUCAAGACUGCAAAGCUCGAGGACGCGAGAGGUUAGCGGAAUUCCGAGUGUAGAGGUGAAAUUCGUAGAUAUUCGGAAGAACACCAGUGGCGAAGGCGGCUAACUGGCGCGUUUCUGACGCUGAGGUGCGAAAGCGUGGGGAGCAAACAGGAUUAGAUACCCCCGUAGUCCCUGAGCGGGCUGGCAAGGCGCAU
rnacentral:rRNA from 1 species